UGAAUUACAAUUGCAGUGGGAGCCGUAAGUCUGAGUAUCUUGACUGUUGUGUGCAGUAAAUGGAAACUCCACCAUGCUGUUAUAUUAAUUUGGUGUUUUUUCUUUAGGGAAAAAUCUUGAAAUUCUUUGCCUUAAAACUCCAGUGGAAGUAAUGGAGAGUUUUAAAACCAGAAGGGUUCAGAUACGGGGAUUCAAUGCCCAGUUCAUAUAGGCUUGCUUGAAAUACCAUAUUUAAAUGAGAAAAACAGCAACGCUGUAGAAAUCUCAGCUGUGGACUGUGAGGCCGUAACUGUGUACAGAGUUUGGCAUGAGGCACUGGGACUACCUGAGAUCGUUAAUUGCCACCGGAAAAAGACUUUAUGAAACGUGGGCUCUUGUAGCCAGGACAUAGCCCUGGGUGGUAAGCCUACAAUCAGCAAAAACCAUGCACCAUAAAAGCUUGUGCAAAGAUUCAGCCUUGAUUUGAAUUUUGGGGCUUGUUUGUAUUUCAAAAGCAAAGCUACUGAAUUGCAUCUUGAAAACCAUAUUCCAGUGCAAGUUUUGAGAAAACACAGCCCAGGUUUGAUCAAAAGGUUCUCAAGUCUGCAAAUUUUUGACAAACCUGAUGAAUGUUUACAGUUUCUAAGUAAACCCCAAACCAAGUGCAUUUGCAUGGGCUGGCAUCUUGCUAUGGAGAUUUUUAUUUCCGCUCCCCACCCCCACCCCCAUCCCCCACCGGUUCUUGCCAAAGCCUCUUCCAUGUCCUGGAAUUGGGCUUUCAAAGUAGGCAUUCUAAUAAUUUUAUUGAUAAAUGUGCCAGCAGGCACACAAAAAAAUAAAUAUCUACACGCAAAUGUAAUAUUUAGCUGUAUUUGUAAAAUGCCAAAUAAAAAGCAAUUUUGUAUUUUGGUUUAAUUUAAUGUCCCUUCGUGUGGAUCAGACUGCACAGCGUUGGCUUGUCCAAACCGCUAAGAUA